rnacentral:pre_miRNA from 1 species
UUGGACGUGAGGCUUGAAGUGAAAGGUGAAUUGGGUUAUGCCUGGCUCCCUGUAUGCCACAAGCGGAAGCUCAAUCUGGUUCUAGAUUGGCUACUGCGGGUGGCGUACGAGGAGCCAAGCAUACCCUCUAUCUUUAUCUCUCUCUCUCUCUCUUGUUCAA